rnacentral:rRNA from 1 species
UACGAAGGGGGCUAGCGUUGCUCGGAAUCACUGGGCGUAAAGGGUGCGUAGGCGGGUUUUAAGUCAGAGGUGAAAUCCUGGAGCUCAACUCCAGAACUGCCUUUGAUACUGAGAAUCUUGAGUAUGGGAGAGGUGAGUGGAACUGCGAGUGUAGAGGUGAAAUUCGUAGAUAUUCGCAAGAACACCAGUGGCGAAGGCGGCUCACUGGCCCGGUACUGACGCUGAGGUGCGAAAGCGUGGGGAGCAACAGG